AUUUCAUUAGUUUAAUUUUAAAAUAUAAUUUUGAAGUGAUUAAGAUUUAUGAAAUA
rnacentral:tRNA from 1 species